UGGGUCUCAAUUUACGUUUGCGUGCACUCUUGAAAACAUUAGUUUGAUCAAUAACAUAGUUGCGAGGAGUUCUGGCGGCCCUGGACAGUAGGAUAUCAAAUAUUGCAUUUGCUCGACUCAUCAGGCGAUCAAAUCGUUCACCAUAAUUGUUCUUGCGCACUAGCCCAGGAACCUUCAUCUGAUCCAGAAUCAGGUUUGUUCCAAGCAAAACGUAACGCUUUUCGGGAUGUUCUUUCACCCAUUUAUCUGCCCAUGUUGUCUUACCCGAAGCGGGUAAACCCACCAUCAUCAUUACUUCACAAUCCCUUACAUCAGGGAAAACAGGUCCUUUUAUUGCAUUUCCAUCUUCAAGAGCUGAAACCCAAGGUUUAUACCCUUCUUCAGGAACAAGUCCAUCUUCAGCGCUAAAAUGCAAUUGAACCACAACAUUCUUUAAUAGAACAUGAGGAAAGAGGGCUGAUUCCCAUUGUAGCUCUUUCAUGGCAGAAUCCACCACUCCAAGACCCCUUGGACCAGCAUCAAAUUCCUUUGCAAUGCCCAACCA
rnacentral:misc_RNA from 1 species